rnacentral:misc_RNA from 1 species
GUCAUUUUCAAGCUCACCAUUUAACUCUGUCAAACAUGCAAGCGUAAACAUCAAGACCGGUAAGGUCUUGAGCCAAUGUGUCAGUCCCCACCAGCCCAGCCCAGAUUAGACUAGCCAGAUUAGACUAGCUAGCCAGCCUAGACUAGGCCAGCGGACCAACGCGAGAUUUGUAAUGAUCCUUCCGCAGGUUCACCUACGGAAA